GGAGUUAGCCGGUGCUUCUUCUGUGAGUGAUGUCCUUCCUGCCGGUUAUUGACCCGCAGGCCUUCUUCCUCACUGAAAGUGCUUUACAACCCGAAGGCCUUCUUCACACACGCGGCAUGGCUGGAUCAGGGUUGCCCCCAUUGUCCAAUAUUCCCCACUGCUGCCUCCCGUAGGAGUCUGGGCCGUGUCUCAGUCCCAGUGUGGCUGAUCAUCCUCUCAGACCAGCUACGGAUCGUCGCCUUGGUGAGCCGUUACCUCACCAACCAGCUAAUCCGACAUAGGCUCAUCCGAUAGCGCGAGGCCCGAAGGUCCCCCGNUUUCCCCCGUAGGGCGUAUGCGGUAUUAGCCUGGGUUUCCCCAGGUUAUCCCCCACUACCGGGCAGAUUCCUAUGCAUUACUCACCCGUCCGCCGCUCGCCACCAGGGAGCAAGCUCCCCGUGCUGCCGCUCGACUUGCAUGUGUUAGGCCUGCCGCCAGCGUUCAAUCUGAGCCAGAUCAAACUCUGA
rnacentral:rRNA from 1 species